rnacentral:rRNA from 1 species
AUUGAACGCUGGCGGCAGGCUUAACACAUGCAAGUCGAGCGGGGGAAGGUAGCUUGCUACCGGACCUAGCGGCGGACGGGUGAGUAAUGCUUAGGAAUCUGCCUAUUAGUGGGGGACAACAUUCCGAAAGGGAUGCUAAUACCGCAUACGCCCUACGGGGGAAAGCAGGGGAUCUUCGGACCUUGCGCUAAUAGAUGAGCCUAAGUCGGAUUAGCUAGUUGGUGGGGUAAAGGCCUACCAAGGCGACGAUCUGUAGCGGGUCUGAGAGGAUGAUCCGCCACACUGGGACUGGGACACGGCCCAGACUCCUACGGGAGGCAGCAGUGGGGAAUAUUGGACAAUGGGCGGAAGCCUGAUCCAGCCAUGCCGCGUGUGUGAAGAAGGCCUUUUGGUUGUAAAGCACUUUAAGCGAGGAGGAGGCUACUAGUAUUAAUACUACUGGAUAGUGGACGUUACUCGCAGAAUAAGCACCGGCUAACUCUGUGCCAGCCGCCGCAGUAA